rnacentral:rRNA from 1 species
AAGGACCAAAGUUAGGGUAUCGAUAGAGAUUAGAGACCUCUGUAGUCCUAACCACAAACUUUGCUGACUGGUCGUGCGCGCCGCUCCGCCUAGGCAGCGGUGGCGUGUGCGUCCUAAGCGAAAGCAUAGUCUUCGAGUCUCUUGGAGAGUAUGCCCGCAAGAGUGAAAUUUAAAAGUCUUGGCGGGAUCUCAUACAUGAACUGGAGCCUGCGGCUUAAUUCUAUUCAACACGCGGAAACUUACCAGGGCCACGGCACGUGUGAGUGCGCGGCUGACUGCCGCGGACGAUUGUGUCUGGGGUUGUGCAUGGCCACCCGAAGCCGAUGGAGUGAUCUUUUGGUUAAGUCCGUGAAUCGGUGAGACCCGACCGCCCAGUUAUGCCUGGGCGCACUGGCCGCGCAAGCGGUAGGGAGGAAGGUCUAAGGUAGGUCCGUGAUGCAAA